rnacentral:rRNA from 1 species
UACGUAGGGUGCAAGCGUUAAUCGGAAUUACUGGGCGUAAAGCGUGCGCAGGCGGUUGUGUAAGACAGAUGUGAAGUCCCCGGGCUCAACCUGGGAACUGCAUUUGUGACUGCACGGCUCGAGUGCGGCAGAGGGGGAUGGAAUUCCGCGUGUAGCAGUGAAAUGCGUAGAUAUGCGGAGGAACACCGAUGGCGAAGGCAAUCCCCUGGGCCUGCACUGACGCUCAUGCACGAAAGCGUGGGGAGCAAACAGG